UAGGGAAUCUUCGGCAAUGGACGAAAGUCUGACCGAGCAACGCCGCGUGAGUGAAGAAGGUUUUCGGAUCGUAAAACUCUGUUGUUAGAGAAGAACAAGGACGUUAGUAACUGAACGUCCCCUGACGGUAUCUAACCAGAAAGCCACGGCUAACUACGUGCCAGCAGCCGCGGUAAUACGUAGGUGGCAAGCGUUGUCCGGAUUUAUUGGGCGUAAAGCGAGCGCAGGCGGUUUCUUAAGUCUGAUGUGAAAGCCCCCGGCUCAACCGGGGAGGGUCAUUGGAAACUGGGGGACUUGAGUGCAGAAGGGGAGAGUGGAAUUCCAUGUGUAGCGGUGAAAUGCGUAGAUAUAUGGAGGAACACCAGUGGCGAAGGCGGCUCUCUGGUCUGUAACUGACGCUGAGGCUCGAAAGCGGGGGGAGCAAACAGG
rnacentral:rRNA from 1 species